UACAGAGGAUGCAAGCGUUAUCCGGAAUGAUUGGGCGUAAAGCGUCUGUAGGUGGCUUUUUAAGUCCGCCGUCAAAUCCCAGGGCUCAACUCUGGACAGGCGGUGGAAACUACCAAGCUUGAGUACGGUAGGGGCAGAGGGAAUUUCCGGUGGAGCGGUGAAAUGCGCAGAUAUCGGGAGGAACACCGGUGGCGAAGGCGGUUCUCUGGGCCUGUACUGACGCUGAGGAGCGAAAGCGUGGGGAGCAAACAGG
rnacentral:rRNA from 1 species